rnacentral:rRNA from 1 species
GAUGAACGCUGGCGGCGUGCCUAAUACAUGCAAGUCGAGCGAACAGACGAGAAGCUUGCUCCUCUGAUGUUAGCGGCGGACGGGUGAGUAACACGUGGAUAACCUACCUAUAAGACUGGGAUAACUUCGGGAAACCGGAGCUAAUACCGGAUGAUAUUUUGAACCGCAUGGUUCAAAAGUGAAAGACGGUCUUGCUGUCACUUAUAGAUGGAUCCGCGCUGCAUUAGCUAGUUGGUAAGGUAACGGCUUACCAAGGCAACGAUGCGUAGCCGACCUGAGAGGGUGAUCGGCCACACUGGAACUGAGACACGGUCCAGACUCCUACGGGAGGCAGCAGUAGGGAAUCUUCCGCAAUGGGCGAAAGCCUGACGGAGCAACGCCGCGUGAGUGAUGAAGGUCUUCGGAUCGUAAAACUCUGUUAUUAGGGAAGAACAUAUGUGUAAGUAACUAUGCACGUCUUGACGGUACCUAAUCAGAAAGCCACGGCUAACUACGUG